CGCACCUGGUGGUGGUAUGCACUGUGGUAGCGUGACGGUAGUCUGCGAAGGAGAGCAGGAGGUAGAGGUGGCAGCGGAAGUGGAAGCGGAGACGAGGCCCCUCUCGAAGGUAUUCCAAGAGGCCGGGCAUGGGGCCGAUAGAAGGCCUACCUCCGCCGCGCAGUGCGCCCCUUCUUCGCCCCAGGCCUCCUGCUGCGCCUCCGCCUCCACGUGGUGUGCAAGGCCCCGCGGCGGUUGCGCGAGAGCGUCGAGAUGCGCGUCCGGCAGCGGUUGGUCUUCCGGAGGAAGUAGCGGCCGCUCGCGGUGCGGUACCUCGCAUGGGUAGCCACCUAUAGGUCAGUCGUACUUCUUCGUAGCCCUCACAGACAACGACUACAUGAACGAAUGAACGUCUUACUCUAACUCUCGUCUCCUCCGUACCGUCCCAGAAGGGUUGUAGGUUGAGGUGUCGGUCGUAUACCAGAAGGAAGACGUUUACAGGUUUAGUUGAGGAAGAGUAAACCUUUACACCGCCGACGUGAACUGAGAGUCGACAUGGUUUGUCUGGUUUGUUCUUGACGUCCGUAGAGUUUGCAAAAGUCGUCAGGAAGUGUCGUUUUAAGGGUAAGUUUGGUAGACCAAGUCACGAGUCCUGUACCGGGACAUUUGAGGGGCGGUUCACCUUCGUUUCGAGCCUUGCUGGUAAGAGGUGUCUUGGUCCUGAGGCACGUAGGGUUAAGCAUGCUCGGGAGGUACCUAUACUUGGUACUACGAGGAACUUCAACACUUGGUGGUAUACUUUCCACUGUUGUCGUAGUCAGUCAAAUAACCUUGGAGGUUAUAGACUAGGAAUAAACGACCUCUUCAGGGUACUUGAUCUCCAUGUACACUAAGGGGAGGUCUUGAGAGAACGGAAACAGACGCAGAGAACCGUGUUUCGAGGACGGAACACUGGUAUGACGAGUGAGAAGACCGUGGAACAUGUAUUGUCGGACUUUGAUAGGAAGACCAGAGACGACAACUAACGCCUAACGCUAGUGGACGAAAGAGCCAACGACUUACCUUCUACACUUGGACGUCCGACAGAGCCGUAUUAGCACGGACGUAAUGGUCAAGAAAAGACCACUAAUAAUGGUCUGCUCUCAGGUACGAGACUAGUUGUUCCUAGUAACACCACAACAACGUAUAAACACAAUGACUAUAGCGACGAUACAUACAAGAUAUACGUGGACAUUUUCUACGUCGCUACGUCUUUCUCUAUCUUGGAACAAAGUGGGGCAAGCAAAAACAACCAACUCACAGAAAUGGAACAUCUACAAUGUGUCUUUCGGACACACACAUGGGACUUAUUCGUGGCUUUAUUAUAUGUUAUUAUAUGUCAACUGCUA
rnacentral:rRNA from 1 species